rnacentral:lncRNA from 1 species
AUUCAUAAAUCCUCAGUAAACACAGGAUGAAGCAUAGAUAAAUCUUACUCAAGCUUUUAAUCAGGCUCAGCGUAUAAAUAGAGAGGUCCCUUUGAUCCAUUAAGGUUUGAGCCGACGCGAUUUUCUUAUCUCGCCAUCAUGUACGGAAACAAAUGCCCUAGAAGCUAGAAAAGGGUUCUUCUCCUUCACUCUUCUUCUCUAACACAGCACAAGAACGAGACGCUUCGUCAGCUCCAUUUCUUCCGCUUUUCUCAUCAGGUUCCUCAAGUUUUUCUUUUAUUUUUCUCGGAUUUUUUAGAGUUUUUUUUUUCCUGAUAUGAAUGGUGGAUUUUUAUUUUUUAUUUUUUAUUUUUGGUUGAUGGAUUUUGAUUUUUCAUUUAUAGAGUUGAGACUGGGUAUCAUUUCAUCUGAAAACUACGACGUUUAGGGUUCUUAAUGCUCCUUGUUACUGGAUCUUUUUAAUUUUAUGUAUAUGAAUUUUACUCUGCCUAAGAACAGCUCUCUUGAUAUUUGACCCCAAAAAAAAAACAGCUCUCUUGAUAUUUCUUUUUCUUAAUUAUAGCUUUUUUUUGUAUCAAUUGUUUUUUCUCAUUUAGUGUAACUAUUUGAAUGUGCAAGACAUGGAUAACAUACAAGAUAUCGCACAAGGGAUGCAGGAAUUUAAAAUUGAAGCGAUCUCAUGCACUUUUCCUCAGGAAAUCAUACAAGAGAUCCUACUUAGGCUACCCGUCAAAUCUGUUAUCAAAUGCACCUCAGUGUGCAAGACAUGGAGGUCCAUGAUCAUAACCAAAGCUUUAUUCGCACCCACCUCAACCCAACAGUUCAUGUUAAUAACCUGAACGCCAGUCACCUAUUCCUAAUCCACAGGGUUGCUGGUAAGAGGAGCGUCACUAUGUUCCACAAAGCCCUUGUUGACGAUGUACUGGAAGAGGUUUAUUCUCUGCAUUAUGAUAACAAGGCUUUUGACGAGUACUCCAAGAUAGAAUUUCCAAUUGCUCCAAAGCAAGAACUGUACAAUUGACAUCUUCGUGUGGUCGGCACUUGUAACGGGCUAAUCUGCUUUGCGGAUGAUAUCUUCCGUUAUGGUUACGAUAUCUUUAUAUGGAACCCAGCCAUUAGAAAGUUAGUGACCCUUCCCUGGCCUGGUGUUACCUAUUGGGUUUGGUUUUGAUGCUAAUACCAAUGACUAUAAGGUUGUGAGACUUGUUAUUUAUGUCAUACUCUUUCAUCACCCAUAUAUCAAGAAAACGG